rnacentral:rRNA from 1 species
CCAAUAGCGUAUAUUAAAGUUGUUGCAGUUAAAAAGCUCGUAGUUGAAUUUCAGGCCUGGCUGGACGGUCCGCCCUUCGGGUGAGUACUGUCUGUGGUCGGGUCCUACCUUCUGGCGAAGCGUCAUGGCCUUAACCGGCCGUGGCGGGGAACCAGGACUUUUACUGUGAAAAAAUUAGAGUGUUUAAAGCAGGCUCGCGCUUGAAUACAUUAGCAUGGAAUAAUGAAAUAGGACGUUGACCCUAUUUUGUUGGUUUCUAGGAUUGACGUAAUGAUUAAUAGGGAUAGUUGGGGGCAUUAGUAUUCAAUUGUCAGAGGUGAAAUUCUUGGAUUUAUUGAAGACUAACUACUGCGAAAGCAUUUGCCAAGGAUGUUUUCAUUAAUCAAGAACGAAAGUUAGGGGAUCGAAGACGAUCAGAUACCGUCGUAGUCUUAACCAUAAACUAUGCCGACUAGGGAUCGGAUGAUGUUAUUUUUAAUGACUCAUUCGGCGCCUUACG